CUCCCCGGGGCAGAGGCCGCGGUGUCCUCAGGCUGUGGCACCAGCCUGCGACCCCCACGCCCGGCUCCGGCCCAGGAGGAGGAGGGCGCUGCUCCCCGGGUAGGGCGACCGGUCACCUGGGCCGGGAGGGCGGCGCAGGGGCGGAAGCGGCUGUCCGGGCUGCUGCUUUGGACUUCUCCGCCCUCUGGCCGGCCCGGCCGCGUCGCCCAGGGCUCCAGGGCCGCCUGGCGCCACCCUCUCCCAGCGCCGCGGUCCCUCCGGUACCUCCCUGGCGGCUGCGGAGCCCUCCUGGGACAGGGUCCAUAAACUCUCUAGAGCGGGAAGUCGCGCAGUCGCGGGGCCGUCACGGGGACCGCUCGAGAUCCGAGCCCACUGGGUGCCCCGGACCCUUCUCUCGCCGGCCCGGCCCCGCGCCCAGACCUAGCGGCCGCUGGCGCCUGGCCCGCUGCGUGGGUCUUCGGUGAGCUAGCUGCCCACCCAGUGCUGCGGCCUCGGCUCCCGCAUGCGCGCUCUGGUGGUUCCUUGCUAGGGGCGACCCUGUGGGCCAGCUUCCCACGCCCGGUCCCCAGGCCGCGCCCAACCCGGCUCCCUGGGCUAGGGUACUGGCUCCUCCUGGGGGCCGUGGGACUGGGAGGCAGGGGCGUUAAGGGAGACGGUGGGACCGAGGGCAGCCCCUGCUGAGUGCACCGCGAGGUCGAGCGCAGGCCUCUGUUGCACAGUGCGCGGCUUUUGCUGGGACUGUGCUGGGGCUCAGAGGGUGGUAUCAGUGCCAGAGGCGAUGUCAGGGAGGCUUCACCAAGAAGAAGCCGCGGAGCUGACCCCUGGGGUGUGAGCAGGUCUUCUUCAGGUGGAAGAGGGCAGGACCGAAUUGCAGGUGGAGUCAACUGUGUUUUCGCACACCUGGGGGGUGAAGGGGACGCAGUCUGUCUACCUGACCCGUGAAAUGUAGGAGACUGUACCCCAGAAGCAGCGGGUUUACUGCUGCAUUGAUUAACCAAGUCUGGAACAAACAUGUAGCUAAGCUGCGAGUUCUGUGCCAGUGGUCCCAACACCCACUCCCCCAGGAAAACACAGCUUUGGAGGUUGGGUGCUUGUCAGGCCUCAGAAUGGAGAGCAGGGGCCAGAGACACCAAGCAGGGGGAACCCACCCUAGGCCUCUUGAGGGACGACGAUGUGGGGAGCUGGUGGCAGAGCCUGAGCUGGCCCGAGGUUGCAUGGUGGGGACAGAUUCGAGGCAUAGUAGGGACUGGUGACCUCAGUUCCCAGAAUGUCCCAGCCUGGCCUCCUGGUCCAGCUAGCAAGUAGUGGGUGCUGCCCUGCAAAGACUCUGGGGGUGCCUGGGCCCCCCCUCACCAAACUUGACUGGUGACUUCUGUGUUCAUCCUCACAAGAAGAGGGAUUUUCUCUCACUUUCAGGCAAGCCCAGGAAAGUCAGGGGCCUAUGUGAGCCAAAGAGGAGAGAAGGCGAUGCUUUAGCCCAUUGUUUCUGCCCCGCCUGGUUUGUGGCCUUGGGGACUUGAUUUGCACCACAGGAUAAAGGGCAAUGAAAGCCCCUCCCUGACUGGCUUCUCACUCCACUCUGACCAGCCCAUUGCACAGCGCCCACCCUGCAGCUCCAGGUACAGCCUGUGCACCUGCAGCUCCAGGUACAGAGGCUGGGCUGGUUCUGGGCUGACCUCAGGGCCUUCUGAUGGUUGCAACCCUCAGGAUGCCUCAUGCUCACCCCUUGGCACCCACCUGACAGCUCAGCAUGUCUGCUAUAUGCCAUCCUCAAUGCCUGCUCUAGACAAGCCCAAGUCCCCCAGGAGUGGCAGAGGGAACUGAGCUGGGAACUAAGUCCCAGCUCACUGAACCCCAAGUGGGCCUCCCACUUUAGGUCACAGCCCCAGGCAAGUUCCCUUCAGGGAUGUGAUCCCAGGGGCCACAGCAGCACGUUCUGGCCUAACCUAUUCACUACUCAAUUAGUUACUGAACAGGCCAGGAUGGGCAUGGGCCCUGACAUUAAUCCCCUUUCUCUGUGAGGGGGCUGGAUUGGGUUUGCCAUCCUGAUGUCUUUGUGGAAAGAGCUGGCAGGUGGAGCAAGUCUCAGGGGCCAGCCAUAGGACAGGGAACCUAGGAUUCGCCUCUGCUGGAACCCUGUGAGGCCCCUGCAGGCAGGAGGGUCCAAUGGAGGUCCAGGCACCUCUCCCAGCUUGGUGUUCACAGCUCCUCCCUGGCCCACUCCCUCUACACUUGCACCUGCUGGUCUCUGGGAGGAGAGCAUCCAUCCAUCUUCUGCAUGUAGCUUUCUGCUGCAUUUCCAUGAGGAUGGUCUCCUUGAUAGAAUGCCCAGCAGGGUGUCCUGAGCCUGUGCUGGCUGUUCUCUAAGUGCCAAGUCAGUGAGAGGGACUUGAAAACUCAAGACUUAU
rnacentral:lncRNA from 1 species